rnacentral:rRNA from 1 species
UGAUACGGUGAAUACGUUCCCGGACCUUGCACACACCGCCCGUCAAGCCAUGGAAGCCGGGUGUACCUAAAGUCGGUAACCGUAAGGAGCCGCCUAGGGUAAAACUGGUAACCGGGGCU